GAUUUCAACUGGAAAAGUCAUCAACAACAAAGUUGUAUAACACAUCAAGAUCUAUAACUUUUAUUUCGGUCAUUUCUUCAUUCGACAAAGUGAUAGUAACAUUGUUCACAAAAUUCACAUAUCUCUCAUCUGGCUAUUUUAUGAACAAUGUUACUAACACUUUGUCAGAUGAAAAAAUGACAAAAAUAAAAGUUAUAGAUCUUGAUGAGUUAUACAACUUUGUUGUUGAUGACUUUUUUAGUUGAAAUC
rnacentral:pre_miRNA from 1 species